rnacentral:misc_RNA from 1 species
UUUUUUUGGUAUUAGGAAAACCAAGAGUUUUUUUCAGUUACUUACAUGUAGUUUUAUGAACUUUUGAUAUUCACAUCGCAUAAUAUCUCAAUGUUUACUUUUUCAUCCACUGCUGUUUUUCUCAAUGUUUACUUUUUCCUCUAUGGUUGUAUUUCUCAGAUAUUUACUUUACAGAGCUUUUUGAUUUGUCAUAAUAAUAAACUCCUACCUCAUUAUUAAUUAUAUAUAAUGAGAACGGUUGUGACUCAAGUGGAAUGAAUAGAUCUUCAGUCUCGUAUUUACUUGAGUUUAUACAGUUAUUCAGUUUAUCUUCACAUACACUGAUAUUGUAGUUUAUAAUAUUAAAACUAUGCAAUAUACAAAAUAUUAAAACUAAAUUCAUUCAGUGAUAUUUGUUUUACAUGUACAUAUGAUUUAUGAUGAGUAUUUGUUAUUUGAUAUAUAUUUUAAUUAGUUGUGCUUUGCUGAUCAAGUAUAUUUAAUCUUUAUACAUGUAUUUUGUAUUAGUUAGAUUGUUAUCAAAUAAAGUAGAUUCAAAUUC